rnacentral:lncRNA from 1 species
AGAGGCAAGUAAGAAGACACAUCAGGGCUGGGACCUGGCUGUCCCUUCCCAAAGUCAGCUGCUCUCACAGAAGACCCAUGGUAUUCAGUGGAGGGUAUAUCUUUCUGUAUGGAGAUUGCUAUGUCCCGGUAUGGUGAGCCUAUGUGGUGUUUCCUGUUUGCUCGUCCCCUCCUGAAUUUCUGUCCACUGACUUCUCAUUGGAAUUUGCUAUUGGGAACCCCACUUAAAAAUGGACAGCAAGAGAUUAGGAUCACUGUGUUCAGUCCUCAUGUCCCACCCCCAUUAGAGGGCCCCAGCCUUGGCCAUCUCAGAUUCUUCAAGACAAGACAUCUCCAUAUGACCUUUCUUCCCAGUUCAAUAUCUACUUCCCUUAUCCUUCUGCUAGGGUCUGGGCAGCUAUGAAUCCCCUCGCCAGCUACGGAGUCAUCCAGCACCUUUCUGCUUGAGGUACUGUAAUGAGUGAGACCACUGGUCCUUUUGGGACCCUCACUGUGUCACACACAUGCCCUCACCACACCAAGCUGAGCUGUCGUGAAGUGAUCUCUCCUCCCUCACGUCAGCAAGUGCCACAAGUCCACAGCCACCAUGGCAAAGAGUCCUUCCACAGCCCAGCCUUGCACCCUGCACCCAGUGUCGGAAAACCCUGAGGAACCUGUCACCAAGUGGCCAAUGACUGAGAUCCCUGCUUCCCCAGAAGGAGCUAGAAACACCUGCCACAUGGUUGUUCUCAAACUCACCAUUCUCAAGUCUGUCUGCUCACCUGCAGCCAUCGGCGUGUCACCUGGGUUAGGUGUGAACAGGUUAUUUCACCAUUGCAAUUCCCUCUUCCUCCUUGCAAUGUAGACAUGCAGGGCAGGGACUUCUCACAACUGUCUCCCAGGGCCAAGCCCAGUGCUCAGACAUGGUAGUUUUGAGUAAGUACCUGUUGUCUGACAACAGACCAAUGACUAGCCUCGGGUCAUCUGUUAGCCAUCUUCCUUCUUCCCCAAAAUGAGGCAGGACCCCAUGAGGCCAGGAGCCUUCAAGUUCCAUAUCUCCAUCUCCAGUCCACUGGGAAGCAUCCUUUAGCACUGCAACUACUCCCAGUGGCUGUUUCUGGACCAACUGUUUCCUCUUCUACAGGCUUCUAAGGGCCUUGCCUCGUUAGCAUCUGUUUAUCAGAACUGACCACAUGAAUUCACCUCUUGAUUUAAUAGUAAGCCUUAAUUUAUGCUAAAUGUUUACAAAGCAACUUUUUAAAGCCGGUGUGGUGGAUCAUGGCUGUAAUCGCAGCAGUUGGGAGGCUGUGGUCGACAGAGGGUGGCCAUGAGCCCCAGGUCACACAGGACUGCAGAGUGAGGCACUGUCUCAAAAGAAGAAAAAUAAUCCGCUUCCCAGAUUUCCUGCCUGCAAAACUGUGAAUAAACUCCCAGCAGGAUUUGACCCACUUCCUGUUCCUUGGGCAAGUGAUUGGUUUGUUUGUCGGGCCCCAUUACCUCCCUGUGAGGGUAAGUCCAUACAUGAACUUCAUUAAUUAUUUUUCUACAAAACAAGGUGGGGCUCUUAGAGACAUGACCCAGUCACUGAUGCUUUCGACCUCGACCACCACCGGCCAGAUAUGGGAGUAACCUGAUUGCUGAAAAUUUAAUGUUUUCUUCCAGGCCCUAGAUGCCACCCCCCCUGCACCCCCUUUCCACCUCCCACUUGGAUAAUUAGCAAAGAGCUGAACCUCCCAAAUCUCUCUAGGGGAGCUUUUCCACCCUAGGCUAAUGAUUUCAUGAGCAGAAUGAAGGUUGGUUAGAAGAAUAUUCUCUGAAAUGUCUGACCUUACUCUAUGCUGUCCUUUCCCAGGGACUUGCUAACCCACCCUCUACAGGCUCCCUUGACACAGAGUCCACAGUCGCCUGAGGCUUCUCUCUAAUCUGAGUGACAUCUUGUGAUUAGCACCACUCACAGCACGGCCUAUCACAUGGCAUGGCUUGCUGUACCAUCACCUUCAAUAUUAGCUACCUCCGGAGUGCCAGCCUGGGUAGCAUGUUGGGGCAGGCCCAGAAUGAACCCUGGAGAACCAGAGAAGCAAAACACCUCCUUCAAAAGCAGACAGCUUCACCCACCGGCUCUCAGAGGCGUCUGUAGGGCGUCCAACCUUGCUACACAUUGUCUCGCUCACCUCGGAGGCUUGCAGGACCUGACGAAAGCCUCCAUUACCACCCCUGAAGAUUGCACAAUCACACUAUGUAGAUAAUGCUGACAAGUUCUUCAGCCAGCUCAAUAUUGUCUGGUGUGUCUGAAGACAACUACAGUGUACUUACAUAUAAUAAAUAAGUACAUCUUUAAAAGAAUAUUUUCCUAAUCCCAUUAUCCUAAUGUUACAGGUCAGGAAGUUGAAUUCAGAGGCUAAUAGCUUGCUCAGAGAUGCAUAGCUAUAAGCACUGAGCUAGACCUGCUUUCUCCUACAUGCUUGCAGCAGAACUUACCUCCAAUUAAUUUCAAUAUUAAUACAACAAGAAGCCUGUGAUUGUACAGUGGAAAAGGAAGGCGGGCAGGGAAUUUUAGAAACAGGAGAGAGAAGACAGAGAGGAGAAGGAAAGAAGAUGGAGGAAGAGAAAGACGAUCCAGAUUCCACGUGGCUUUAAAUAGCCACAGGUAGCUAUGACUAUCUUAUAAGGGAUGGAUAAUUACAGGACAAUUUGUCCAAUCCAGGUGGGCAGUUUAUAUCAAUAUCAAUUGGCUCUGAGUUCAUUGUGUGGACAUUUUGUGGGGUGAGAGUUACUGACAUAAAUCUGACUUAUAAAUCCCAAGCCUCUAGAGCUUUGACUUGACUGGGUUCCUGGGAUUUGGGAGCACUGACCACAGGGGUGGAUGGCUGGGAAUGUGAGCAGAAUCCGCAGCAAGAGAACCUCAAGAUGGGCGGUUGCUGCAUGGGAUUAGCCAUGGAGGCAGCAAGGUCACCGGAGUCAGAGAGUAGCCAGUGAUAGCACAGGAUGGUGCUUUUUUUUUUAAUCUGAACAAACCCUGUAUUCUUUAGACUCUUAUCUCUAAGAUUCCAAACACGUUAUAGCAUUCAACAAAAAUAUUAUAGACAUUUUUCUGCUUUCAUUGUCAAUUUACGGGAUUGUGCUCAAAAAAUAUCCUGAAACAUUUUUAUAAAUCAACUGAGAUAGAACUUAUAUAUGUGUCUGCUUAAACCUUAUUCCCCCAAACCAACGCUAACAGGACCUUAUAGACAAGAAGUACUGGCUGUUUUUGUUUUUGAGACAGGGUCUUGAUGAUAUAGCCCUGGCUAGCUGGUAACUCUGCAAACCAGACUGACCUUGAACUCCACGACCUGCCUGCCCCGUCUCCCAGUGCUGGGGUUAAAGAACUGUACCACGGCAAAGAAUAGCUGGUGUUUUAACAGUCAGAGAUACACAUUAGUUUAACUGGAAGUAUGAACUGGAAGCAACCAUGGCAGUAAGCUGAAAUCUGUCAGCUAAUUUGAUAAAACGGUUUUUGUCUCAAAAUUAUCAGCCAUUUCUUUUAGCUGAUACUUCUUUUACUAGCUUUAUAAAAAGAAAAUGAACAAUCUAACUUAACUAUAAAGCUGGUUCUCAUUUUCACACUGUUAUUUUUUAAAUAGUUUUUAACUUAAUUUAUUCACAUUAUAUUUUUAAACUCCACAUUCUUUUCUAUAUAGUUGCAUGUCAAAAAAUACUAAAGAGUUUCACGGUUUGCUGAAAUACAUGUAGGAAAACAUAGAUAUGUGGCAUAAUAGCUUGCUUAAAUUUCUCUUAAAGAAACAUAAUUAAUUUAAAGAGUUCCAAUUUUUAAAAAAAUUCCAGCAAUGAUUAUUUCUGAAAUGUAUAAAAUUUAAAUAAUUAAAAGGUUAAAAACCAAAAUG